GAUGAACGCUGGCGGCGUGCCUAAUACAUGCCAGUCGAGCGAACAGACGAGGAGCUUGCUCCUCUGACGUUAGCGGCGGACGGGUGAGUAACACGUGGAUAACCUACCUAUAAGACUGGGAUAACUUCGGGAAACCGGAGCUAAUACCGGAUAAUAUAUUGAACCGCAUGGUUCAAUAGUGAAAGACGGUUUUGCUGUCACUUAUAGAUGGAUCCGCGCCGCAUUAGCUAGUUGGUAAGGUAACGGCUUACCAAGGCAACGAUGCGUAGCCGACCUGAGAGGGUGAUCGGCCACACUGGAACUGAGACACGGUCCAGACGCCUACGGGAGGCAGCAGUAGGGAAUCUUCCGCAAUGGGCGAAAGCCUGACGGAGCAACGCCGCGUGAGUGAUGAAGGUCUUCGGAUCGUAAAACUCUGUUAUUAGGGAAGAACAAAUGUGUAAGUAACUAUGCACGUCUUGACGGUACCUAAUCAGAAAGCCACGGCUAACUACGUG
rnacentral:rRNA from 1 species